GCUAGGACUACACCGUAAACAGCAUGAAGUCUGUCAAGCAGUAUUACUGUCACAUGGACCUAAACAUGAAGAGGAUGGUUGCAACUAACAGU